rnacentral:rRNA from 1 species
GAUGAACGCUGGCGGCGUGCCUAAUACAUGCAAGUCGAGCGAACGGACGAGACGCUUGCUUCUCUGAUGUUAGCGGCGGACGGGUGAGUAACACGUGGAUAACCUACCUAUAAGACUGGGAUAACUUCGGGAAACCGGAUCUAAUACCGGAUAAUAUUUUGAACCGCAUGGUUCAAAAGUGAAAGACGGUCUUGCUGUCACUUCUAGAUGGAUCCGCGCUGCAUUAGCUAGUUGGUAAGGUAACGGCCUACCAAGGCACCGAUGCAUCGCCGACUUGAGAGGGUGAUCGGGCCACACGGAACUGGGAAACCGUUCAGGCUUCCACGGGAGGCAGGAGGAGGGAAUCCUCCGCAAAUGGGCGAAGCCCGACCGAGCCACGGCGGGGUGGUGAAUGAGGUCUUUGGAUUGUAAAACCUCUGUAAUAGGGGAGAAAAAAAUGGGAAGGAACCGGUGACCUUUUGACGGUAACUAAUCAGAAAGCCACGGCUAACUACGUG